rnacentral:tmRNA from 1 species
GGGGGUGUAAAGGCUUCGACGGGGAUUGCGAGCCUUGGUAAGCGAGCAGCGGUGCGGAACCGCUAUAAAAGCCGCACUUAAAAAACAAACGACAACGAUACAGUUGCAUUAGCAGCCUGAGUGCUGCUCGUCCUGCCUGAGAGUACCACGGCUCAGGCAAGGGCGUCGAUCAGUGGUGAACGCAUUCGGGCAUACUCCUUUAACCCGUCUGUGUAUUAAAGGAUACCUUCCUCAUAAGCCCGUCAUCGGGCGUUUGCGGGAGGGAAUCUCAAAACGAUGACUACGCUCGUAGAAAGCCUUGGCAACGGGUUUUCGGACAGGGGUUCGAUUCCCCUCACCUCCACCA